UCCCCACAUUCUCCUUCUUCUUCCCCCAACAAUCCAACAACAAAGCUUUUGUUUUAUUUUUGUGGUCCCUUCAAUUCCCUUUUUGUGGUUGCAAAUCUAAGGUCAACGAACAUCUCAUACUUUCUGCGUUAGUUAUGGUUGCACAAAGGCAUUUGCAUCCCGGGCCGAUGGAUCCGUCAGUGCUGACAUUUCAGCAUAGGCAUCGGUCUAGAUCUGUAUGGACGGACCCAAAUUUUAAUGCACGUAUUAAAGCGUGUCGAUACGAUGGGCAAACAGUACGACCCAGCGAUGAAAGGAUGAUUCAUUACUUGCGUGUUGCUGGGUUGUACGGUGUAUCGCAUCUCAAGGACAUCAGGUUGGACCAUUCAUUGAUCGCGGCUUUGAUUGAGCGGUGGCGGCCUGAGGUUCACGCCUUUCACCUACCUUUUGGGGAGGUAGGUAUAACACUUCAAGAUAUUGAAGUGUUACUUGGCCUUAAGGUGGACGGGCUUGCUAUUACUGGACGUGUUAAACGUCAUAUCCCACAAUGGAAGGAAAUGUGUACACGUUUAUUGGGAUUUACUCCUAGUGAUCAAUUCAUCACACCUUCGAAAAUUAGUUCGACUGCAAUCCCGCCCGUUCCACAACUAACCGUGAAUAACACAGAUGAAGAGGUGCAAGUGGCUACACGGUUACAUUUGAUGCAUUUGUUAGGUGGACUCCUUUUUCCUGAAUCAACAAACACUGGGGUAAAAUUGUGUUUGUUGCCUUUCAUUGAAGAUUUUGAGGUUUGUGGUCAGUACAGUUGGGGAUCUGUUGUUUUAGCCCAUCUUUAUAGGGCGUAGUGCAAAGGAGCUGACCGCAAUACUUCGGUAGUCGAUGGUUGUAUGCUGUUGGUGCAACUUUGGGCAUGGGAGAGGCUUCCUAUGCUUAGGCCAGAAGGCAUUUUACCACAACAAAAUAUUAGUGGUUUGCCAGUUGGUGCAAGGUGGGUAUGUUCACACUUUUGGGGUGAUAUGCCUAAUCACGUGAUUCGGACAUAUCGCGACCAAUUGAAUCGCGUUAACCAACAAAUGUUUGUGUUCGAGCCUUAUAAUGACUUAUUGUCUUAAUUGCCUGAUUACUGCACGGCCGGCCAAGCGAUUUGGACAGCUAGAGUACCUUUGAUAUUUUUUUAUAUCAUCGAGUACUACUAUCCUGACCGGUUCUGCAUGCAAUUCGGCAGUUUCCAAGAUGUCCUGGCUGACGCCACGUACAACGAGGAAUUACAUGCGUGUAACGGGUGAUCUGGCGAUCUGGAUUGGGCUAAAAAACACAACCAGCAUUUAUACUUGUGGACACAACGGGAAGGUUUAAUAAUUCCAAUGCUGGUGAUGAACAAUCUUGUUGCAAGUAAUGCAUACUGGGUAUGGUAUCAUACCCAUGGUAGGCUUUUCAUUGGCAACCCUGAACACCGACAAGAUCAGGGUUAUGUCCAAUGCAGUGCCUUGUUAAAUGACGUGAUGUGUUUCAUUCGUAAUUUGCAUUUGCGUGCCGGAGAAGCUGGCAACGAUAGAGCGCGAUGUCUUGAUCUGGUUCGGGAAAUACACAUUAGCACGCGAGAUUAUUUACAGCGUGCUGGGUACGGUUACUUUGUAGACGUUCCCCCCCAUAUCUUCAAUAAUGCACCGGUCGACGAGCCGUUGCAGCCUCGCCGUACAGAUUUGCGACGACAGCGAGAGAACAGGCGGGGUCAACCUGCGUGCGGCGGGAGGCGUAUGCGUGCGGUGAACCAGGCUUUGCAAGCUGAGGCAUACCAACACCAGCAUGAGACUAACAAUGUAGAGCAUGAUUCAGAGGAUGAUGAUGGCGGGUCUGAGAAUCGGAAUGCACUCGCCCUUAUGCCCGUUCAAUACCAGGGCGGUUAUGGUAAGUGGAGAACUUUUAAUGGUAAGUGGAGAACUUUUGGCUGUUUUCUCAUAAAUAGUCACUUUAGCUCGGGAACCUCUAACACACUAUUAUGUUAAUCGGGCUAUUCUUUACCUAUUAAAGUAAUAGUGUUUUUUACCGUA